GCAAAAUACUACCCAUUUAGGAGAUAUACUGUACGUCUCUGACCGGACAUCUUGUGACUGCUCACUUUCCCCCAGAACCUAACGUAGUUUUCAUUACAACAUGAGUAUAACAACCUCAAGCAGCUCAUUGAACGUGGCAGAUUGAGGAAGCUGCUCUGCCGAAGCACCCGCCUGCCUGUCUGCAUUCAGAAGGACUCAAGGACCUUGCAUGCUCCUCACCCAACACAUUUCGCAUCAGCAUCAAUGUCAGCGUUCACAAUGGGAAACAGCAGGAGCAGCAGAAGUGGAUGUGGAGGCUUUUAAUUAAUGCUUUUGAUUUGAGUUCAUCUCUUGCUGUCAUCAAGAGACCACCUUCAGAUGAAAAGGGCUGGUCAAAACCGGAGAUGAAUCAACUGGGCCUUUCAUUACUGUCAGCUGGCAGACUAAACCACAGAUAUAACAGAAAAUGAGACUUUCAAUAUGGCUGGAAGCACCAUCAUGCAACACUAAACUGCCCUCUGUGCAUUUGACUACAUAUUUCUACAGUUUACGCUGGUAUGUAUAUUUUUCUCAUUUCAAUUUCUCAGUAUAUCUGCAAAUCAGCCAUAACAUAUAAAGUUCCAGUAAAUAAUCAUUAUUUUAUUUAUGAUUUAUUGACAAUGCAGCAGUUUUGUCCACUACUAAAAAAAUAAAAAAUAAAUAAGUAAAAGAAAAAGUGAGCGAUCAUGCUGUUUUUCAAAUAUGCAAUGGGAGAUUCCAUGUGGUUGCUUCACGUCAAAGGCAUUGCUGUUAAUAAACAAUCAGUGUCGACCGGCAGCAGAAUAAAUUCACUGAUGUAUCUCAAGCAGCUUUGUUGUGGGUUUCAAGUGGUUCUCUUAUUUCCUUCAC